GAUGAACGCUGGCGGCGUGCUUAACACAUGCAAGUCGAACGAUCAAGCCCAGCUUGCUGGGUGGAUUCGUGACCAACGGAUGGGUAACACGCACGUAACCUGCCCUUAAAUCUGAGUUAAACCUGGUAAACUGGGUCUAAUACCGGAUAGGAGCGCCUACCGCAUGGAUGGUGUUGGAAUGAUUUAGCGGUUUUGGAUGGACUCGCGGCCUAUCAGCUUGUUGGUGAGGUAAUGGCUCACGAAGGGGUAGACGGGUAGCCGGCCUGUGAGGGUGACCGGCCACACUGGGACUGAGACACGGCGCAGACUCCAACGGGAGGCAGCAGUGGGGAAUAUUGCACAAUGGGCGAAAGCCUGAUGCAGCGACGCCGCGUGAGGGAUGACGGCCUUCGGGUUGUAAACCUCUUUCAGAAGGGAAGAGGCGAAAGUGACGGUACCUGCAGAAGAAGCACCGGCUAACUACGUG
rnacentral:rRNA from 1 species